CCAACGUUGGUCAUCUCGCGGUGUCUGCCACCGUGAGCUCUGUCCUUGUGGUAAUGGAGCCGAGUUUAUUGUGAGGUGCUGUCCGGCCACAACGUUGGAGAGUAGCUCUGAGUGUCUCCACACCGCGAUGGUGACACUGCAGACCACUGCAUAUUCCUUGAGCUUCCCGUAGCUCCUAGUGGGCCAUGACUGUGGGAGAUAAACCAUGUAGGGGACAGUA